rfam:Candidatus Magasanikbacteria bacterium RIFCSPHIGHO2_02_FTLL_45_10 rifcsphigho2_02_scaffold_19161, whole genome shotgun sequence.
CGGGCUAUAGCGCAGUUGGUAGCGCGCGUCGUUCGGGACGACGAGGCCGUGGGUUCAAGUCCCACUAGCCCGA